CCUACGGGUGGCUGCAGUGGGGAAUAUUGGGCAAUGGGCGCAAGCCUGACCCAGCAACGCCGCGUGAAGGAAGAAGGCUUUCGGGUUGUAAACUUCUUUUGUCAGGGAAGAGUAGAAGACGGUACCUGACGAAUAAGCCACGGCUAACUACGUGCCAGCAGCCGCGGUAAUACGUAGGUGGCAAGCGUUGUCCGGAUUUACUGGGUGUAAAGGGCGUGUAGCCGGGUUGACAAGUCAGAUGUGAAAUCCUGCGGCUUAACCGGAGAACUGCAUUUGAAACUGUUGAUCUUGAGUACUGGAGAGGCAGACGGAAUUCCGAGUGUAGCGGUGAAAUGCGUAGAUAUUAGGAGGAACACCAGUGGCGAAGGCGGACUGCUGGACAUUAACUGACGCUGAGGCGCGAAAGCGUGGGGAGCAAACAGGAUUAGAUACCCGUGUGGUC
rnacentral:rRNA from 1 species